GCCCUAACAAGCCUCAUGACCCGCUUUUGCACGGGCGAAGAUAGCUGGCUGGCCCGUAGUAGCACCAGCGACCCAGGCACAUCUGAAGUCAGGGAUGGCAAUGGAAAACCACGACGCAGUAAAAGCAAGAGUCUAAAUAACAAAGACAACCUAGACAACACGGCGGUAAACGCCGGAUUUAGGGGCUCUCGACCCGGUCAGCGGAAAAAUACUUUCAAAGGCAACAGAGAUGGACCGUCCAGCCUAAACAAGAUUCUAGACAAAUUAUGUCAGAUUCAUGGCACCUCCGAUAAACCUGCAAAUCACACCCAUAGAGAAUGCUGGGUCUUCAAGCAGGCCGGCAAGUUAAACGCCGAACACAAGGGGAGGGAGACACCAAGUGAAGACGAGGAUGAACCUCGCCACAAAAUACUG
rnacentral:rRNA from 1 species